GACGAACGCUGGCGGCGUGCUUAACACAUGCAAGUCGAACGGAAAGGCCUCUUUCGGGGUGUACUCGUGUGGCGAACGGGUGAGUAACACGUGAGUAACCUGCCCUUGUCUUUGGGUUAACUUCCGGCAACUGGGGCUAAUACCUGAUAGGUGCUCCUUCUACAUGGUGGGUGUUGGAAAGUUUCGGGGGUUGGGGAUGGGCUCGCGGCGUAUCCGCUUUUUGGUGGGGUAGUGGCUUACCAAGGCUUUGACGGGUAGCCGGACUUAGAGAGUGAUCGGCCACAUUGGGACUGAGAUAAGGCACAGACUGCUACGGGAGGCAGCAGUGGGGAAUAUUGCACAAUGGGUGGAGGGCUGAUGAAGAAGGGCCGUGUGCGGGAUGACGGUCUUCGGGUUGUAAACCACAUUCGCUAAUGACGAAGCAUUGUGUGACGGUAGUGAGUAAAGAAGCACCGGCUAACUACGUG
rnacentral:rRNA from 1 species